GGGGAUGAAUUAGGUUCGACGGGGAAGGUUGAGCGCAUACUGCGAGCCGAGGCGCCUGUCCGCGUCAAAACGGGCAAACCAGUAAGUGCGAACAAGCGCACUGCACCUGCUCUCGCAAUGGCUGCAUAAGCAACCUGAGCGAGGGGUGCUGACCUGCGGGUCAGCCGUCUGCCUGCUCUGAGCUCGGCCGGGGCAGCUGCGGGCGUGACCGAGGCUGAGCUGCUGCGCCGUGAUACCGAUAAGCGGCGUUUAAGAUCAUUCGGUUGGCUGAGCAAGUGACCUUGUCAGGAAGGGCAGGCUCAGCGAGAUGAAAAUCGCCUGACUACGCUCGUAGAGGUAUGCGGGAGAGCUUCUUCGGACCCGGGCUGCAAUGCCCGGCAUCUCCACUC
rnacentral:tmRNA from 1 species